UACGGGGGGGGGCAAGCGUUGUUCGGAAUUACUGGGCGUAAAGGGCUCGUAGGCGGCCAACUAAGUCGGAUGUGAAAUCCCCAGGCUUAACUUGGGAACUGCAUCCGAUACUGGAUGGCUUGAAUCCGGGAGAGGGAUGCGGAAUUCCAGGUGUAGCGGUGAAAUGCGUAGAUAUCUGGAGGAACACCGGUGGCGAAGGCGGCAUCCUGGACCGGCAUUGACGCUGAUGAGCGAAAGCCAGGGGAGCAAGCGGG
rnacentral:rRNA from 1 species